CAAUAGCGUAUAUUUAAGUUGUUGCAGUUAAAAAGCUCGUAGUCGGAUUUUGGCUGAGAACGAUCGGUCCGCCGUUAGGUGUGCACUGAUUGGUCUCAGCUUCCUGGUGAGGAGGUGUGCUUCACGGCCACUUAGUCACCGUGGUUACUUUGAAAAAAUUAGAGUGUUCAAAGCGGGCUUACGCUUGAAUAUAUUAGCAUGGAAUAACACCAUAGGACUCCUGUCCUAUUUCGUUGGUCACGGGACGGGAGUAAUGAUUAAGAGGAACAGUUGGGGGCAUUCGUAUUUCAUUGUCAGAGGUGAAAUUCUUGGAUUUAUGAAAGCCGAACUUCUGCGAAAGCAUUUGCCAAGGAUGUUUUCAUUGA
rnacentral:rRNA from 1 species